UACGAAGGGGGCUAGCGUUGCUCGGAAUCACUGGGCGUAAAGGGUGCGUAGGCGGGUCUUAAGUCAGGGGUGAAAUCCUGGAGCUCAACUCCAGAACUGCCUUUGAUACUGAAGAUCUUGAGUCCGGGAGAGGUGAGUGGAACUGCGAGUGUAGAGGUGAAAUUCGUAGAUAUUCGCAAGAACACCAGUGGCGAAGGCGGCAUCCUGGACCGGUAUUGACGCUGAUGCGCGAAAGCCAGGGGAGCAAAGCAGG
rnacentral:rRNA from 1 species